rnacentral:rRNA from 1 species
CCCAUCGUAUGUCUCAUAGAAUGUAAAUAUAUGUCCUCGCCUUAAAAAGCGUUGAUAAACUUAUACAACUUUCAACAACGGAUCUCUUGGCUCUCGCAUCGAUGAAGAACGCAGCGAAAUGCGAUAAGUAAUGUGAAUUGCAGAUAUUCAGUGAAUCAUCGAAUCUUUGAACGCACCUUGCGCUCCUUGGUAUUCCGAGGAGCAUGCCUGUUUGAGUGUCAUUAAAUUCUCAAACUCCGAUCGAUUUGUUUCGACUUCGGGGCUUGGAUUUGGAGCGUGCUGGCGUCGGUCGGCUCCUCUUAAACGCAUCAGCGGAAUCUAACGUUCCGGACGUCAGUGUGAUAAUCACGUUGCGCUGUCUUUCGGUCCGAAAAGCCCGCUCACAAUGGUCUUCGGACAACUUCAUAUCAAAUUUGACCUCAAAUCAGGUAGGACUACCCGCUGAACUUAAGCAUAUCAAUAAGCGGAGGAAAAGAAACUAACAAGGAUUCCCCUAGUAACUGCGAGUGAAGCGGGAAAAGCUCAAAUUUAAAAUCUGGCGGUCUUGCGGCCGUCCGAGUUGUAAUCUGGAGAAGCGUUUAUCCGCGU